UACGUAGGGGGGCAAGCGUUGUCCGGAAUCACUGGGCGUAAAGCGCGCGCAGGCGGUCAUCUACGUCUGGGGUGAAAGCCCGGAGCUCAACUCCGGGAUUGCCUUGGAUACGGGGAUGACUUGAGGAUCGGAGAGGCAAGGGGGAAUUCCACGUGUAGCGGUGAAAUGCGUAGAGAUGUGGAGGAACACCUGUGGCGAAGGCGCCUUGCUGGCCGAUUUCUGACGCUGAGGCGCGAAAGCGUGGGGGAGCAAACAGG
rnacentral:rRNA from 1 species